GACGAACGCUGGUGGCGUGCUUAACACAUGCAAGUCGAGCGGAGCGGCGAACGGGUGAGUAACGCGUGAGUAACUGCCCCCCUCUCUGGGAUGACAGUUGGCAACGGCUGCUAAUACCGGAUAGUGGGGUAUGACUCGCGUCCUAUAAGCUUGUUGGUGGGGUAGUGGCCAACCAAGGCGACGACGCGUAGCCGGCCUGAGAGGGUGACCGGCCAAAUUGGGAUGAGAUACGGCCCAAACGCCUACGGGAGUCAGCAGUGGGGAAGAUUGCACAAGGGGGGAAACCCUGAUGCAGCAACGACGCGUGCGGGAUGACGGCAGUCGGGUUGUAAACCGCUUUCAGCCAUGACGCGGUAGUGGCAGAAGAAGGACCGGCUAACUACGUGCCAGCAGCAGCGGUAAUUC
rnacentral:rRNA from 1 species